rnacentral:rRNA from 1 species
AGAGUUUGAUCCUGGCUCAGGACGAACGCUGGCGGCGUGCCUAAUACAUGCAAGUCGAGCGAACAGAGAAGGAGCUUGCUCCUUCGACGUUAGCGGCGGACGGGUGAGUAACACGUGGGCAACCUACCUUAUAGUUUGGGAUAACUCCGGGAAACCGGGGCUAAUACCGAAUAAUCUGUUUCACCUCAUGGUGAAACAUUGAAAGACGGUUUCGGCUGUCGCUAUAGGAUGGGCCCGCGGCGCAUUAGCUAGUUGGUGAGGUAACGGCUCACCAAGGCGACGAUGCGUAGCCGACCUGAGAGGGUGAUCGGCCACACUGGGACUGAGACACGGCCCAGACUCCUACGGGAGGCAGCAGUAGGGAAUCUUCCACAAUGGGCGAAAGCCUGAUGGAGCAACGCCGCGUGAGUGAAGAAGGAUUUCGGUUCGUAAAACUCUGUUGUAAGGGAAGAACAAGUACAGUAGUAACUGGCUGUACCUUGACGGUACCUUAUUAGAAAGCCACGGCUAACUACGUGCCAGCAGCCGCGGUAAUACGUAGGUGGCAAGCGUUGUCCGGAAUUAUUGGGCGUAAAGCGCGCGCAGGUGGUUUCUUAAGUCUGAUGUGAAAGCCCACGGCUCAACCGUGGAGGGUCAUUGGAAACUGGGAGACUUGAGUGCAGAAGAGGAUAGUGGAAUUCCAAGUGUAGCGGUGAAAUGCGUAGAGAUUUGGAGGAACACCAGUGGCGAAGGCGACUAUCUGGUCUGUAACUGACACUGA